rnacentral:rRNA from 1 species
GCAAGUCGAACGCAUGACUUCGGUCAUGAGUGGCGCACGGGUGAGUAACACGUAGGCAACGUACCCCGGGGCGGGGAAUAACGUCUGGAAACAGGCGCUAAUACCGCAUACAGCGUCCGGACUUUCGGGUCUGGACGGCAAAGGCUUCGGCCACCCUGGGAUCGGCCUGCGGCCCAUUAGCUUGUUGGUGAGGUAACGGCUCACCAAGGCUUCGAUGGGUAGCUGGUCUGAGAGGAUGAUC